rnacentral:rRNA from 1 species
GUCUUAAUUAUAGCCNNUAUAUAUAUAUAUAUUUAUUCUACUUA